AGGACUAGACCUAUGUGCUCAGAAGGCGGCCGAGGCGAUGACCUGCAGGGCCAUGUAGACGGUGGCGCCCAAGGCCACGAAGAAGGCGAGGGCACGGGAAGGCUGGGGCACCACGACCACGGCGUAGACCAGUGUGUGGACGAUGCGGGCGAUGCCCACGGCGCGGAACAGGUUGAUGGCCAGAAAGGCGGCCGGAUCAGUCAGGACGUAGAGCAGACCGAUGGCGAAGAAGGGCAGGAUGUUCUCCAGGUCGUUGCGGUGGGCACGGCGCACACGCUCCACGUUCGGAUCGUCGAACUUGACCUUCAGCUUGGGGGACAUCAGGUCCUCGGGGUUGGCGAAGGUCUGAAAAUGAAGAUACCGAUUAAAGAAUCGAAAUACAUAAAAUUAGGAAUGUGAUGUGCAUUCAUAUGCAUCUUUUUAUUGUUUUUCCAUUUGAAUUUCGUAUCGUUUUGUACAGUUGCCAUGUAUUAUU
ensembl:ncRNA asRNA:CR44431 antisense RNA:CR44431